AUACGUAGGGUGCGAGCGUUGUCCGGAAUUACUGGGCGUAAAGAGCUCGUAGGUGGUUUGUCGCGUCGUCUGUGAAAUUCCGGGGCUUAACUCCGGGCGUGCAGGCGAUACGGGCAUAACUUGAGUACUGUAGGGGAGACUGGAAUUCCUGGUGUAGCGGUGAAAUGCGCAGAUAUCAGGAGGAACACCGGUGGCGAAGGCGGGUCUCUGGGCAGUAACUGACGCUGAGGAGCGAAAGCAUAGGUAGCGAACAGGAUUAGAUACCCUGGUAGUCCAUGCCGUAAACGGUGGGCGCUAGGUGUAGGGGUCUUCCACGACUUCUGUGCCGUAGCUAACGCAUUAAGCGCCCCGCCUGGGGAGUACGGCCGCAAGGCUAAAACUCAAAUGAAUUGGCGGGG
rnacentral:rRNA from 1 species